rnacentral:lncRNA from 12 species
CAAUGACUCUCACAUGCAAGUAAUUAAAUGGAUGUAAGGCAAGAAAAAAGUGGCACAUAUUUGAAUUGAUUAAUUUCCUUUCUGAAAACGUACGGAGCCUAAUCGGAACGCUGUGCGCAAGUGUGCAUGGGCUUUCUGAGAAUAUUUCCUCUCUGCUGCUACACUGAAGUCUCUGGGAGAGAAACUGCUUGAUCCCACCUUGCCUCGGGCUGUCCAGAAUCCUUCGCCUGGAAGAUGUUUGUGGGCCUUCACUCUUUCUCUAGGAGCCUCCCUCCCUGAUACUAGAACAUAAGGAAAGCUGCUACAAGCCCACUUCUUCAUGUGUUCAAGGACCGCUGAGGGAUGAAGUUGAAUCAGUGCAUCUCCACCUUCCACACCUAGAAGAAAGAAUAUAGAAGUAAGUAUUCCCCACCUCCCCAACCCCCGUCAAUCAUCUCCAUCCGUUAGGGCUUACCAUCAACUC